GCCGGGCGAGGUGGCGGGUGCCUGUAGUCCCAGCUACUCCGGAGGCUGAGGCAGGAGAAUGGCGUGAACCCGGGAGGCGGAGCUUGCAGUGAGCUGAGAUCCGGCCACUGCACUCCAGCCUGGGCAAAGAAUUUGUAUACUUUAAUGUUUGUUUCCCGUAUAAGUCUGAAGAUCUAGUGAGGUAGAGGCCAUCUCUAUAUAUUAUUUCUCUCUCUUUUUUUUUUUUUAGAUGGAGUCUCGCCCUGUCGCCCAGGCUGGAGUGUGGUGGCGUGAUACAGCUCACUGCAAGCUCCGCCUCCUGGGUUCACACCAUUCUCCUGCCUCAG
rnacentral:sRNA from 1 species